rnacentral:rRNA from 1 species
CGUGCUAAUCUGCGAUAAGCGCCGGUAAGGUGAUAUGAACCGUUAUAACCGGCGAUUUCCGAAUGGGGAAACCCAGUGUGACUCGUCACACUAUCAUUAACUGAAUCCAUAGGUUAAUGAGGCGAACCGGGGGAACUGAAACAUCUAAGUACCCCGAGGAAAAGAAAUCAACCGAGAUUCCCCCAGUAGCGGCGAGCGAACGGGGAGGAGCCCAGAGCCUGAAUCAGCAUGUGUGUUAGUGGAAGCGUCUGGAAAGGCGCGCGAUACAGGGUGACAGCCCCGUACACAAAAGCGCAUGUGCUGUGAGCUCGAUGAGUAGGGCGGGACACGUGGUAUCCUGUCUGAAUAUGGGGGGACCAUCCUCCAAGGCUAAAUACUCCUGACUGACCGAUAGUGAACCAGUACCGUGAGGGAAAGGCGAAAAGAACCCCGGCGAGGGGAGUGAAAAAGAACCUGAAACCGUGUACGUACAAGCAGUGGGAGCCUCUUUUAUGGGGUGACUGCGUACCUUUUGUAUAAUGGGUCAGCGACUUAUAUUCUGUAGCAAGGUUAACCGUAUAGGGGAGCCGGAGGGAAACCGAGUCUUAAUUGGGCGUUAAGUUGCAGGGUAUAGACCCGAAACCCGGUGAUCUAGCCAUGGGCAGGUUGAAGGUUGGGUAACACUAACUGGAGGACCGAACCGACUAAUGUUGAAAAAUUAGCGGAUGACCUGUGGCUGGGGGUGAAAGGCCAAUCAAACCGGGAGAUAGCUGGUUCUCCCCGAAAGCUAUUUAGGUAGCGCCUCGUGAAUUCAUCUCCGGGGGUAGAGCACUGUUUCGGCUAGGGGGCCAUCCCGGCUUACCAACCCGAUGCAAACUGCGAAUACCGGAGAAUGUUAUCACGGGAGACACACGGCGGGUGCUAACGUCCGUCGUGAAGAGGGAAACAACCCAGACCGCCAGCUAAGGUCCCAAAGUCAUGGUUAAGUGGGAAACGAUGUGGGAAGGCCCAGACAGCCAGGAUGUUGGCUUAGAAGCAGCCAUCAUUUAAAGAAAGCGUAAUAGCUCACUGGUCGAGUCGGCCUGCGCGGAAGAUGUAACGGGGCUAAACCAUGCACCGAAGCUGCGGCAGCGAACGUAUCACCCAAGACAACUUUACGGAGUUGACGAUUGACGGAGCGAAGCGACGUCAAAGCGUUCAUUAAAGUCGAGUUGGCUUAGGGAUACGUUCGUUGGGUAGGGGAGCGUUCUGUAAGCCUGUGAAGGUGUGUCGUGAGGCAUGCUGGAGGUAUCAGAAGUGCGAAUGCUGACAUAAGUAACGAUAAAGCGGGUGAAAAGCCCGCUCGCCGGAAGACCAAGGGUUCCUGUCCAACGUUAAUCGGGGCAGGGUGAGUCGACCCCUAAGGCGAGGCCGAAAGGCGUAGUCGAUGGGAAACGGGUUAAUAUUCCCGUACUUGGUGUUACUGCGAAGGGGGGACGGAGAAGGCUAUGUUGGCCGGGCGACGGUU